rnacentral:rRNA from 1 species
UACGUAGGGGGCUAGCGUUGUCCGGAAUCAUUGGGCGUAAAGCGCGCGUAGGCGGUCAGGAAAGUCCGGUGUGAAAACUGGAGGCUCAACCUUCAGACGUCGACGGGAAACCGUAUGGCUAGAGUCCGGAAGAGGUGAGUGGAAUUCCGAGUGUAGAGGUGAAAUUCGUAGAUAUUCGGAGGAACACCAGUGGCGAAGGCGGGUCGCUGGACAGUUCCUGACGCUGAGGCACGAAGGUCAGGGGAGCAAACGGG